CAUGUAGUGGAACCAUCACAGGAUGGAAAAUGCCACAAAAGAAAUGAAUGAAAUGAAAGACUAGUAUCCCAAGCUAGAAUACCAGAUAUGUAAUUUCGAGGACGAAAUUUUUUUUAAGGAGGGAGGGAUGUAAUAUCCCGUUUCCUCGAGCUAAGUCUAGAAUAAUUUUUAAUUUAGAAUUUAUUUUAAACUUAGAAUUAAGAUGAUUCACGCCGGAUUGAGAAAAAAAUGAAUUUAUUUUAAUUCCAACAAAGACGAUUUACAAAAAUAUAUUUUGUAAAUUUAGUUAUUAAAUUUAUGUGCGUCGCAUAUUUAUUUAAUUUAGCAUUCAAGCAUUUUCAUGAGCUAUUUAUUUAAGCAAACACUGAACGAUUAUUACAGUUUUCAUAGUACAACCCGGAAGAUUUUUAUUUUAUUUUAUUUUACUCCACUACACCCACUACCCACUACACCUACUCCUACACAGCAAUACAUUCGUCCACUCCUCUCUGUCUGCCAUAUCUCAAUUAUUCUCGCAAGGAAGAAAUUCAAUGCACAUCUCUAUCUCCAGAAGUUCAACAACAUCAUAUUCACUAACCAUUCGUCUCUACACAGAACACUAUAAGGCUUUGUGACCAGGGGGAUUAGCGCUGCUUUCCCAAGACAGGUUUAUAUGUGAUUAUGAUCUUCAGGCUUUGCCUAUCCAGGUUGGCUGGCUGGUGCUGACGGGACGGAGCUGAGGCUCGAGAUAAAUUCCUAUGUUAGACUUCCGCUGUAGCAAUUACUUAUAUCAGUCUUUUGUUUUCCCAACUUAAGAUCUUCAUGUUAAAUUUCAAAUGAUAUAUCUGACCGAGCUUAGACUCUUCACUACUAAAUUUAUGCCAAUGAAUGUCGGUUGUCAGAAGCAUGAAACAAAACUUGUGAUCCAAAGGGGCAUAGCCCGACUUUCUAUCCUAUUUCGGGUUUUUUUUUUUACAAGGUUGUUCCUUGUUUAUUUCUAUGAAUUAGU